rnacentral:lncRNA from 1 species
UAACAUUCCAUAAGAAAAAAGCAUCAAAACAUAUAAAAUCCGAAAAUACAACAAAAGAAAAUCAGCAUAGUUGUAGAAAGAUAAGCACAAAAGCAUAUGAAAAUCUUGUGAUAACACUACACCAUUUGAUAAACACUAGCACUUGACAAUCUUCUAUUUCUGUCAAACAGAGUGACAACAAAAGAUGUUUAAAAUGAAGCCAUAAACAAAAAUCAUAGACUAUUUGUAAACAGAAUAUCAACAAUAGACAUUACCUUAUGCAGACCCGUGAACUGAAUCAGCAAAUUCUGAUGCAAAGACAAAAAAAGCAGGUCACUAUCAAC